UACGAAGGGGGCUAGCGUUGUUCGGAAUCACUGGGCGUAAAGCGCACGUAGGCGGGUCGUUAAGUCAGGGGUGAAAUCCCAGAGCUCAACUCUGGAACUGCCUUUGAUACUGGCGACCUAGAGUUCGGAAGAGGUUAGUGGAAUUCCCAGUGUAGAGGUGAAAUUCGUAGAUAUUGGGAAGAACACCAGUGGCGAAGGCGGCUAACUGGUCCGAUACUGACGCUGAGGUGCGAAAGCGUGGGGAGCAAACAGG
rnacentral:rRNA from 1 species